GCGCACCAGGCGAGAAAACUUCACACUGUGCGAAAGCACGAUGAGGGAAUCCCAAGUGCUUGCACGUAAGUGUAAGCUGUUUCUCUGUCUAAAACGCAGAGAGAGUAAGGGCUGGGUAAGACGGGUGCCAGCCGCCGCGGUAAUACCUGCAGCUCAAGUGGUGACCGUUAUUAUUGGGCCUAAAACGUCCGUAGCCGGUUUAAUAAAUGCCUGGGUAAAUUGUGUAGCUUAACUAUACGAAUUCCGGGUAGACUGUUAAACUUGAGACCGGGAGAAGUUAGAGGUACUCCUGGGGUAGAGGUGAAAUUCUGUAAUCCUAGGGGGACCACCAGUGGCGAAGGCGUCUAACUAGAACGGGUCUGACGGUGAGGGACGAAGCCCUGGGGCGC
rnacentral:rRNA from 1 species